UGAACGCUGGCGGCGUGCUUAACACAUGCAAGUCGUGCGGUAACAGGCGUAGCAAUACGUGCUGACGAGCGGCGAACGGGUGCGUAAUACAUGGGAAUCUGCCUUUUAGUGGGGAAUAACCCGGCGAAAGCCGGGCUAAGGCCGCAUAAGAUCUUCGGAUGAAAGCGGGGGAUCGUAAGACCUCGCGCUGAUAGAUGAGCCCAUGCCGGAUUAGCUAGUUGGUGAGGUAACGGCUCACCAAGGCGACGAUCCGUAGCUGGUCUGAGAGGACGGCCAGCCACACUGGGACUGAGACACGGCCCAGACUCCUACGGGAGGCAGCAGUGGGGAAUAUUGGACAAUGGGGGAAACCCUGAUCCAGCGACGCCGCGUGUGUGAAGAAGGCCUGCGGGUUGUAAAGCACUUUCGGUGGGAACGAAAUAUGCCGGGCUAAUACCCCGGUAGGCUGACGUUACUCAAUGAAGAAGCACCGGCUAACUCUGUGCCAGCAGCCGCGGUAAUACAGAGGGUGCGAGCGUUAAUCGGAAUUACUGGGCGUAAAGCGCACGUAGGUGGCGACGUAAGUCGGGUGUGAAAGCCCCGGGCUCAACCUGGGAACUGCAUUCGAGACUGUGUUGCUGGAGUACGGAAGAGGAGGGCGGAAUUCCCGGUGUAGCGGUGGAAUGCGUAGAGAUCCGGAGGAAGACCGGUGGCGAAGGCGGUCUGCUGGGCAGUUUCUGACACUGAGGCGCGACAGCGUGGGGAGCAAAC
rnacentral:rRNA from 1 species